rnacentral:rRNA from 1 species
UACGAAGGGUGCAAGCGUUACUCGGAAUUACUGGGCGUAAAGGGUGCGUAGGUGGUUUGUUAAGUCUGCUGUGAAAUCCCCGGGCUCAACCUGGGAAUGGCAGUGGAUACUGGCAAGCUAGAGUGCGGUAGAGGGUAGUGGAAUUCCCGGUGUAGCAGUGAAAUGCGUAGAGAUCGGGAGGAACACCAGUGGCGAAGGCGGCUUCCUGGUCUGCGACUGACGCUGUGGCGCGAAAGCGUGGGGAGCAAACAGG